rnacentral:misc_RNA from 1 species
GAUGAAGAACGUAGCGAAUUGCGAUAUGUAAUGUGAAUUGCAGAUUUCAGUGAAUCAUCGAAUCUUUGAACGCACAUUGCGCCCGCUAGUAUUCUGGCGGGCAUGCCUGUUCGAGCGUCAUUUCAACCAUCAAGCCCUAGGCUUGCGUUGGAGCCCUGCGGCUGCCGCAGGCUCCCAAAUCCAGUGGCGGGCUCGUCGUCGUACCGAGUGCAGUAAACAUCCUCGCUCAGGGAACGUGACGGGUUCUUGCCGUGAAACCCCCCACAUAUCAAGGUUGACCUCGGAUCAGGUAGGAAUACCCGCUGAACUUAAGCAUAUCAAUAAGCGGAGGA